rnacentral:rRNA from 1 species
CGUAGGUGGCAAGCGUUGUCCGGAUUUAUUGGGUUUAAAGGGUGCGUAGGCGGCUUUGUAAGUCAGUGGUGAAAUAUGGCAGCUCAACUGUCAGGGUGCCAUUGAUACUGCGGAGCUUGAGUACAGAUGAGGUAGGCGGAAUUGACGGUGUAGCGGUGAAAUGCUUAGAUAUCGUCAAGAACACCGAUAGCGAAGGCAGCUUACUGGGCUGUAACUGACGCUGAGGCACGAAAGUGUGGGGAUCAAACAGGAUUAGAUACCCUGGUAGUCCACACUGUAAACGUUGAUGACUCGCUGUUGGCGAUACACGGCCAGCGGCAGAGAGAAAUCGUUAAGUCAUCCACCUUGGGAGUACGCCGGCAACGGUG